rnacentral:rRNA from 1 species
UGCGUAGGUGGUUUCUUAAGUCAGAGGUGAAAGGCUACGGCUCAACCGUAGUAAGCCUUUGAAACUGUGAAACUUGAGUGCAGGAGAGGAGAGUGGAAUUCCUAGUGUAGCGGUGAAAUGCGUAGAUAUUAGGAGGAACACCAGUUGCGAAGGCGGCUCUCUGGACUGUAACUGACACUGAGGCACGAAAGCGUGGGGAGCAAACA